UGGGGAAUAUUGCACAAUGGAGGGAACUCUGAUGCAGCGACGCCGCGUGAACGAAGAAGGCUUUCGAGUCGUAAAGUUCUUUUAUAUGGGAAGAUAAUGACGGUACCAUAAGAAGAAGCCCCGGCUAACUUCGUGCCAGCAGCCGCGGUAAUACGAAGGGGGCUAGCGUUGUUCGGAUUUACUGGGCGUAAAGCGCACGUAGGCGGACUUUUAAGUCAGGGGUGAAAUCCCGGGGCUCAACCCCGGAACUGCCUUUGAUACUGGAAGUCUUGAGUAUGGUAGAGGUGAGUGGAAUUCCGAGUGUAGAGGUGAAAUUCGUAGAUAUUCGGAGGAACACCAGUGGCGAAGGCGGCUCACUGGACCAUUACUGACGCUGAGGUGCGAAAGCGUGGGGAGCAAACAGG
rnacentral:rRNA from 1 species